UACGUAUGGUGCAAGCGUUAUCCGGAUUUACUGGGUGUAAAGGGAGCGUAGGCGGCGCGUUAAGUCUGAUGUGAAAACCCGAGGCUCAACCACGGGAGUGCAUUGGAAACUGGCGGGCUGGAGUGCCGGAGAGGUAAGCGGAAUUCCUAGUGUAGCGGUGAAAUGCGUAGAUAUUAGGAGGAGCACCAGUGGCGAAGGCGGCUUACUGGACGGCAACUGACGCUGAGGCUCGAAAGCGUGGGGAGCAAACAGG
rnacentral:rRNA from 1 species